GUAGGUGGCAAGCGUUGUCCGGAAUUAUUGGGCGUAAAGCGCGCGCAGGCGGUCCUUUAAGUCUGAUGUGAAAGCCCACGGCUCAACCGUGGAGGGUCAUUGGAAACUGGGGGACUUGAGUACAGAAGAGGAAAGCGGAAUUCCAAGUGUAGCGGUGAAAUGCGUAGAGAUUUGGAGGAACACCAGUGGCGAAGGCGGCUUUCUGGUCUGUAACUGACGCUGAGGCGCGAAAGCGUGGGGAGCAAACAGGAUUAGAUACCCUGGUAGUCCACGCCGUAAACGAUGAGUGCUAAGUGUUAGGGGGGUUUCCCGCCCCCCUUAGUGCAGCAGCUAACGCAUUAAGCACUCCGCCUGGGGAGUACGGCCGCAAGGCUG
rnacentral:rRNA from 1 species